AGGAUGUAGAGUCCAGAGGCGGGGGUCACACGCGGGGGGGAAGGGUUAAGCGGAAUGUCGGGGCGGAAAGCGUGGUCAGGCGGUUAGAUAAGACAGAUGUGAAAGCCCCGGGCUCAACCUUGGAACUGCAUUUGUGACUGUAUGGCUAGAGUACGGCAGAGGGGGAUGGAAUUCCGCGUGUAGCAGUGAAAUGCGUAGAUAUGCGGAGGAACACCGAUGGCGAAGGCAAUCCCCUGGGCCUGUACUGACGCUCAUGCACGAAAGCGUGGGGAGCAAACAGGAUUAGAUACCCUUGUAGUC
rnacentral:rRNA from 1 species